rnacentral:tRNA from 1 species
CGGGAUGUGGCGCAGCUUGGUAGCGCACCUGGUUUGGGACCAGGGGGUCGCCGGUUCAAAUCCGGCCAUCCCGA